UGCGCAGCGCGUGUUUGAUCACGAUGGAGCGGAACGCGACGCCCUUAAGCCGCGCCGUGCGGAUAUAUUGCGCCGUCAUCACCUCCGCCAUGGAGGCGCGGGUCAUCCGCGCGACAUAGCCCAUGCCGUAAAUGGCCAUGGUCAUCACGGGCAGGGUGAAAUUGUAGAAGGUAAUCCCAGA
rnacentral:ncRNA from 1 species